rnacentral:misc_RNA from 1 species
AUUUUUUUUCAAACAGAUUCGAUUCGAUCCACCAUUAGAAUCCAAUAAUCACAAGUUUUUAAACCCCACAACUCCAAUUGCUGCACAUCCUCUGUUUUUAAGAUAAGUUGACUUUGAUGGGUGGCAAGAGUUCAAGAGAGGAUAGUUGGAGGCAAGCUUCAUCGACUCGAUCUUCCUCUUGGAAUCAAUACGAUUAUCCUCAAACUGCUUAUCCUCAAGAUAGUUACAGUUACUCACAGCAGACGGCUGUUCCUUCUUAUGCACCACCACCACCAUCCCAACAGAAUUAUCCCCCACAGCACCAACACAAUUAUUCUUCACAACCCCAACAGAAUUAUGCUUCUCAUGAACAUGAAUCUCGGACUCAUACUCAUGCUCCACGACCAAGGCUUGAUCGGAGAUACUCGAGGAUUGCAGACAAUUAUAAUUCCCUGGAUGAGGUGACUGAAGCCCUUGCACGAGCUGGUUUGGAGUCUUCGAAUCUUAUUGUGGGUAUUGAUUUCACCAAGAGUAAUGAAUGGACAGGUAAGAGGUCUUUUAGUAAUCGGAGUCUACAUCACAUUGGGCAGAAUUUGAACCCAUAUGAGCAAGCCAUUUCCAUAAUUGGAAAAACCUUAGCGGCAUUUGAUGAGGAUAACUUGAUUCCUUGUUUUGGAUUCGGAGAUGCAUCAACUCAUGAUCAA